rnacentral:SRP_RNA from 1 species
AGUGGUGGCACAUACCUGAAAUUCCGGCUUCUGGGGAGUGUGAGACUAGCAGAGACGUUGAGUUCAGGAAUUCUGAACUGCAGUGGGCUAAGCUAAUCUAGUAUCCACACUAAGUUCGGCAUCAAUGUGGUGAGCCCCCAGGAACAGGGGGCCACCAAAUUGCCUAAGAAGGAGAGAAUGAACCUAGGUCAGAAAACAGAGCCAGUGAAAGCUCCUGUGCCAAUCAGAGUGGGCCCCUGUUCUUCCAGCCUAGAAGAGAUAGGGAGACCCAGUCUAA